rnacentral:rRNA from 1 species
GACGAACCGUGCGAACGUUGUUCGGAAUCACUGGGCUUAAAGGGCGCGUAGGCGGUUCGCCAAGUCUGGGGUGAAAUCUUUCGGCUUAACCGGAAAAUUGCCUUGGAUACUGGCGGACUCGAAGGAGGUAGGGGCAGUGGGAACUUCCGGUGGAGCGGUGAAAUGCGUUGAUAUCGGAAGGAACGCCGGUGGCGAAAGCGCACUGCUGGAUCUCCCUUGACGCUGAGGCGCGAAAGCUAGGGGAGCAAACGGG